UACGGAGGGGGCAAGCGUUGUUCGGAAUUACUGGGCGUAAAGGGCGCGUAGGCGGCCUGCUAAGUCGAACGUGAAAUCCCUGGGCUCAACCCAGGAACUGCGUCCGAUACUGGUUGGCUUGAAUCCGGGAGAGGGACGUGGAAUUCCAGGUGUAGCGGUGAAAUGCGUAGAUAUCUGGAGGAACACCGGUGGCGAAGGCGACGUCCUGGACCGGCAUUGACGCUGAGGCGCGAAAGCUAGGGGAGCAAACGGG
rnacentral:rRNA from 1 species